AGACAACUCUUGAUAAGAAACUCAACAAAAUAGCCUCUUUACUUUAAGAGAUAGGGCGCCUCCUCACAAGGGGGGUCGUAUUGACCUGGUUGUCAGAAGGUAAAUGAGGUUGGGUGACCUGAUAACAAGAUAGCUGGCGACCAAAGCCUCGGUGAAUGACGGUCAUAACUAUAAUGGUCCUAAGGCAGCAAAAUUUCUUAUUGAGUAAGUUUUGACACCUGCACGAAAGGCGUAACGAUCUGGACAGUGUCUUGGAGAGAGGCU
rnacentral:rRNA from 1 species